rnacentral:rRNA from 1 species
UAGGGAAUCUUCCUCAAUGGACGAAAGUCUGACGGAGCAACGCCGCGUGAGUGAAGAAGGAUUUCGGUUCGUAAAACUCUGUUGUUAGGGAAGAAAAAAUGUAUAGUAACUAUAUACAAAAGAGACGGUACCUAACCAGAAAGCCACGGCUAACUACGUGCCAGCAGCCGCGGUAAUACGUAGGUGGCAAGCGUUGUCCGGAAUUAUUGGGCGUAAAGCGCGCGCAGGUGGUUUAGAAAGUCUGAUGUGAAAGCCCACGGCUCAACCGUGGAGGGUCAUUGGAAACGAAGAAACUUGAGUGCAGGAGAGAAAAGUGGAAUUCCUGGUGUAGCGGUGAAAUGCGUAGAGAUUAGGAGGAACACCGAUGGCGAAAGCGGCUUUUUGGCCUUCAACUGACACUGAGGCGCGAAAGCGUGGGGAGCAAACAGG